AAGUCGUAACAAGGUUUCCGUAGGUGAACCUGCGGAAGGAUCAUUACCAAUCCAAAACCCCUUUUUAUUAUCAACACGCAAUGUGAACCGAGAAUGGUUUCGUUCCCUUCCUCGGGAGAAAGGAGGGAGAGGCAUAUAUACAUAUAUAUAUAUGUACAUAUGCUUUUCCUUGCUACUCUCAGUUGGAAAGGAAGGGAAUGUUAUUUUUUCAACCCCUUUACAACCAUAUCAACCCAUACUUUAUAUGCUGAAAGCAAAAAAAAAACAAACGAAACAUGAGACAACUUUUAACGGUGGAUCUCUUGGCUCGU
rnacentral:misc_RNA from 1 species